AAUUCCUUUCAAAAUACAUUUAUUUAAAAUAAAUAAAACGGGUUUGGAAUCGUCUUUAUGAAAAAACAAAGAAAGAGCAGAAUGUGAAAACGGAAGUGGAAUAAACAUCCGAUAACAUCAAAUAGGAAGGAAAUGGAUCUUAUCUCGAUGAUAAGAGAUGGAAAAAAGGAGAAGAAAAAAUCAGAUAGAACAGUGGGCUUUAGGGGGACAGAGGUCCGUCCAAAAACAGCAGUUGUAAAACCUGGACCUUCUAUCUCCGAUUCUUCCGAGAUGUCUGACUCUGCCAGGUAUGUUGAGUGUCUAAAGAGCGAUAUUUCAACCCGCUUGCGAUCGAUAAUCAUUUUAGAGGUGUAAUUAAUUCGUUUAUAACAUAAAUCGCUUCUUUGAUUUAUCCAAUUUUUAUUCAUAUAUCGAAUAUAUCAAUUAUAUUUUGUUUUCCUUUCU
rnacentral:lncRNA from 1 species